rnacentral:rRNA from 1 species
ACAGCAGUCGCCGCGGUAAUACGAAGGGUGCAAGCGUUAAUCGGAAUUACUGGGCGUAAAGCGUGCGUAGGCGGUGAGUUAAGUCUGCUGUGAAAUCCCCGGGCUCAACCUGGGAAUGGCAGUGGAUACUGGCUCGCUAGAGUGUGUCAGAGGAUGGUGGAAUUCCCGGUGUAGCGGUGAAAUUCGUAGAUAUUCGGAAGAACACCAGUGGCGAAGGCGGCUUACUGGCUCAUACUGGACGCUGAGGUGCGAAAGCGUGGGGAGCAAACAGGAUUAGAGACCCCCGUAGUCCCUGUCUCUUAUAC